GCUGGAACUUCCUGCAGAGAGGUUGCUGUUAUUUUCUGUCUGCCAAAUAGUGAGAAAGAUUGUUUCAGAAAUGGAAAAUAAACUUGGAGCUGAUCUGUCAUUUGUUCGCCCUGGAAAACAGGACAAGAAUCAUUCUGGAGAAGAUGGGCCUGGAGGGAAAGGUGAGCCCCACGCAGGCCAAGAAAAAAUGGGACAACCUCAAAACAAAAUAUAAAGACUGCAAGUUCCCAGGGUCAGGGGAGGGAACGAGUGGGAAACCCACUGCUGCUACUUGGCCUUGGUUUGUCCAAAUGGACGAGUGUUGGGACAGAGGGCUUCCAUCACACCCCCUGUCCUGAUUUCUUCAAUCCCAGAGGACAUUCCAGGGUCAAGUGCAGCAGUGGCCAACCAGGAGGAGGAGGACGACUACUACCAGACAGAGCCAGCAGCCAGAAGGGGCCCGAAACGGCACAGAGAUCCCACCGCAGAGCUGCUGGACCUCAUCAAGGAGGACAUGAAGCAUCAAAGGGAGGUGGAGGAGAGGAGGGCACAGGAAAGCAAGGAGAGGAUGGACAAGCUUUUUUCUAUUCUGGAAAAAAUAGCCAAUAAAUGACUCUUUACAA